GACGAACGCUGGCGGCGUGCUUAACACAUGCAAGUCGAACGGAAAGGCCCUGCUUUUGUGGGGUGCUCGGGUGGCGAACGGGUGAGUAACACGUGAGUAACCUGCCCUUGACUUUGGGAUAACUUCAGGAAACUGGGGCUAAUACCGGAUAGGAGCUCCUGCUGCAUGGUGGGGGUUGGAAAGUUUCGGCGGUUGGGGAUGGACUCGCGGCUUAUCAGCUUGUUGGUGGGGUAGUGGCUUACCAAGGCUUUGACGGGUAGCCGGCCUGAGAGGGUGACCGGCAACAUUGGGACUGAGAUACGGCCCAGACUCCUACGGGAGGAAGCAGUGGGGAAUAUUGCACAAUGGGCGGAAGCCUGAUGCAGCAACGCCGCGUGCGGGAUGACGGCCUUCGGGUUGUAAACCGCUUUCGCCUGUGACGAAGCGUGAGUGACGGUAAUGGGGAAAGAAGCACCGGCUAACUACGU
rnacentral:rRNA from 1 species